rnacentral:lncRNA from 1 species
UGAAAGUGCAUCUGCAACUUCCUCCUCCCUCUCCAGGCAGCAGAAGCUUUAGCGUGACUAGCUGAAAGGUCUCACUGGCACUGGAUCAUAGCUCAGAGUAAGACGGGAGAAUGUACUUCAUUGUUUUCCUCCCAAAAGGAAAGAUAAGAUUGCAAGGUCAGAGGAAAUCAGUAAAAUGACAGACAAUGUGUGGACUGCUGUGUCUUCAUUCAUUCUACCAGUCACGCUGAUAAUCAAGAGAGGUCGUCAGGAGAUUUCAAUCACACUCGGAAACUGGGAGAGGUCAUUUAGCUUUCAUGCUGCGAGAGGGAGAAAGAAGAGUGACAAGGCCCAGAGGGUUCAUCGAUUUUGGAAAGUUGUUUGUUUGAUCCCGGAGGUGAAGGAACCUGCCAUCUCCACACACUUAAGAAACUUGGCCCCCAG